rnacentral:lncRNA from 1 species
AUUACAGCCUUAUGGAAGACCUAGUUGAUCUUUGAGGAUGUAUUCAUGGAUGUUAGUAAGUAUGUGUGUUAUCCUAUUCUUAGUAUUUGAUUCCUUUCAUGAGAUUUGUCUAGAAAGUUCUUUUGUUUCUAAUUGAAUUAUGUGUGAGAAUAUCUUGCUUUCCAUUACAUAACCUUACUCACAUAUACUUGUUGAGAGCAAGUCCUAGGAAUCAAGCGAACGAGUGAAUCUGUGAGAUUAGAGUUGAAACGAAUCUUAUCUUCCUUGCUUGAGCUUGUAACUUAGUAACAAGUUGAAUUUGGGCUAGAGCACCUCACUAACAUGCAGAUUUGAGUGGUGGAAAGGUAAAGUCAAAGUUAGGAAUGUAAGGCAUAAUUGAGCUUUGAUUCUUAUUAUAUUUCAAAAGUGCUCUAAUCGUUGUUUUGUAGGUUGUUUAGGAUGUUUAUAGGUACCGUCACUGUUAAAACAUUUGGAGACAUAACUCCUCCUACUAGGGAUGCCUAGAGGUUUAAAGGCUUGAUGCAUAAGCUGAAUGCAUUCGUCUCACCAACGGAAUUGGUCUUAGAUUAACUUAUGUUUGUCUUUUGUGUUGUUUUUGUUUCUUUUAGUUUUGGUUUGCUCGUGGACUAGCAAAAUCUAAGGUUGGGGGUAUUUGUUGAGUGCAUAAAGUUAUAUUUAUAUGCCCUCUUUUACUUAGGUUUUUUACUUAAAAUCUCUAUGCAUCACAAGGUAUUUUGUUGUUUGUAUUGUAUUUCAGGAUGAAAGUAAGGGCUUGAAAUCAUCUUAUUUUGAAUAUUUUAAGAGCCUAGAAUGGAUAGUUCGAAGCCCAACUCGCCCAAGACCAGACCAUAGCCCACAAGUGACCCAAGAUUCGCCAGAAAAGGCCUUUGCAGAACGGCCAACUUGCAAGCUUUGGCUCGAAGUGCUCAGAACAAAUUAGAAAAUGGGCCAUAUAUGGUUGGAAAGCCCUAAAGUCUUCUUUCUGAUGGUCUUUACAACUUGUGAUUUGGAGGUUUCGAUAAGAAGUUAUGACAGAAUAAAGAGGAGCUGUGUAGUUACAAAUUCUAAUAACAGCUAGUUUUCUGUUACUCUCCUAUACUAAAAGCUGAUUGUAAUGAGCUAUAACUGACAGUCAAUUUAAGGAAGUAAAUGUAUCAGAUGUUAUGCUCCAUUCAUAUACUGUCCAUUCCAAGCCAAAAACUGCUUUAAAAUGAUCCAAAUUGCCUUUUCUUGCCACUUUUGCCAUUUAAACCUACAAACAGACGAAAAUGGCUUAAAACACUCUAAAAAGUAGAAACUAACUACGUAAAUGCAAGGAAACAAGCUAACUAAGUCGCAUAAAUAUGCUCUUAUCAAAUUCCCCCACAUUUAGCUUUUGCUAGUCCUCAAGCAAAACAAAACAAACAAAACAUAACCUAAACCUUCCAAUGAAACAUGACACGUUAAAAAUCACUACGCACAUAGAUUUUAGCUAUCCUUACCCCUGAGCUCAUACUUAAUCGCAGUCACCACUCACUAGCUCACAUUUAAUCAAUUAAAACAACAUUUUGAAUGUAGUAACAUGCCUUAGAGAAUUCCCUCAAUUCCUCACUGGAUAUACUCUCUAUUUUCACACAAAUUUUCUGACUACACUCCCUACACUAAGUAUAUGUGAGAAGAUUGAUGUGAAUAUGUAGACUAGCACUCACAUAUGUUAUAACAUGUAUAUGAUCUCAUGAACGGAAUGCCACUACUUAGAAGCAAGAACCAGGGAUUCCAUAUGCUCGUACCAAUUUCAAACUCCACAUAUUGAAACACAUAACAAUUAAGAUAAAAGUCUAAGGGUUGUAACGGGGCUAAGGUAUUGGCUAAGAAAGAAUGGUCAAGGAUAAGCAAACUAAUGAAAUCAACACUUGGAAUUCAACUUUUGAUUGCAGAAACCAACUUUAAACACCCAUGGGAGAUUCACAAAACACUUAGGGCCAUAUUCAAACUUUUGGACCCUUCCUUCAACAACCAAUACUUGUGAGCUCAUUAUCACUUAUUUUGAACUUUUUUUCCUCUUUUUUUUUCCUCAACUCCUUUUUUUUUCUUUGUCUUCUCGUGCCCUUCUCUUUGGCACACAAAACGUACACCCUCAUAGAUUUCCAACAAAAAACCUUCCCCCACACUUGUUUUUCUACAUAAUGUCGAUGAAAAGGAAUUCCCAACAAGUCAUGCUUCACUAUUCUUUAAGAACAAGGGUAUGGAUAGUCCUAUUGUAGGCUACGUAGGGAUAAUGUAGGCUAACAAAGAAAAUAGGCUAAAUAAGGCUCAAAGGGGUUAAACCUACAAAACAUAUGCAAGGGAAUAAGGCUUUUUGGCUCUGGUGGUAACUAAACAACUUCAUCUUGUCUUUGUUAUGCAAUCAAUUUUAAGUUUUGAAUGAAACGGGCAUGAGUUCUAGUAUUUGGAACUAAAAUGAUGAAAAAGCAUUCCAAGUAGCAACCAAGCAAAGAAAUAAUGAGAUCAUGCAACGACUUU